UGCUAAUACAUGCAAGUCGAGCGGACAGAUGGGAGCUUGCUCCCUGAUGUUAGCGGCGGACGGGUGAGUAACACGUGGGUAACCUGCCUGUAAGACUGGGAUAACUCCGGGAAACCGGGGCUAAUACCGGAUGGUUGUUUGAACCGCAUGGUUCAGACAUAAAAGGUGGCUUCGGCUACCACUUACAGAUGGACCCGCGGCGCAUUAGCUAGUUGGUGAGGUAACGGCUCACCAAGGCGACGAUGCGUAGCCGACCUGAGAGGGUGAUCGGCCACACUGGGACUGAGACACGGCCCAGACUCCUACGGGAGGCAGCAGUAGGGAAUCUUCCGCAAUGGACGAAAGUCUGACGGAGCAACGCCGCGUGAGUGAUGAAGGUUUUCGGAUCGUAAAGCUCUGUUGUUAGGGAAGAACAAGUGCCGUUCAAAUAGGGCGGCACCUUGACGGUACCUAACCAGAAAGCCACGGCUAACUACGUGCCAGCAGCCGCGGUAAUACGUAGGUGGCAAGCGUUGUCCGGAAUUAUUGGGCGUAAAGGGCUCGCAGGCGGUUUCUUAAGUCUGAUGUGAAAGCCCCCGGCUCAACCGGGGAGGGUCAUUGGAAACUGGGGAACUUGAGUGCAGAAGAGGAGAGUGGAAUUCCACGUGUAGCGGUGAAAUGCGUAGAGAUGUGGAGGAACACCAGUGGCGAAGGCGACUCUCUGGUCUGUAACUG
rnacentral:rRNA from 2 species